GACGAACGCUGGCGGCGUGCCUAACACAUGCAAGUCGAACGAAGUUUUUAUGGAAUGCGACUUCGGUCAAAUGAAGUUUAAACUUAGUGGCGGACGGGUGAGUAACGCGUGAGCAACCUGCCUUUCAGAGGGGGGAUAACGUUUGGAAACGAACGCUAAUACCGCAUGAUAUAACGUAAUCGCAUGAUUGUGUUAUCAAAGGAGCAAUCCGCUGAAAGAUGGGCUCGCGUCCGAUUAGAUAGUUGGUGGGGUAACGGCCUACCAAGUCGACGAUCAGUAGCCGGACUGAGAGGUUGAUCGGCCACAUUGGGACUGAGACACGGCCCAGACUCCUACGGGAGGCAGCAGUGGGGAAUAUUGCACAAUGGGGAAACCCUGAUGCAGCGACGCCGCGUGAGGGAAGAAGGUAUCGAUUGUAAACCUCUGUCUUCGGGGACGAUAAUGACGGUACCCGAGGAGGAAGCACCGGCUACUACGUGCCAGCAGCCGC
rnacentral:rRNA from 1 species